ensembl:lncRNA
AAAGUAUAAAGGUUAUUUGGGAGAAGGAAAAAUUAUUUCUCAAUAUUAACUCCAUAGACAAAAGCCCAAUUUUCAUAAUAAGCUAGGAGAAAUCGAUAAUGUUUUAAAAAUAAAAAGUGAACUGCUUACACUCACCAAUCUAUACCCAGUAUUAAUUCUAUCCUGCAGUGUAUGCUAUAGAAGGUAAUAAAACGCUGAUGUUUCCUAGUUUCUCGUUUCAAUCUGCUCCAGCUUUCUCUUCAACCUGGUUAGCAACAGAAGUCACCCCCAGCAAUUACACAAACCUAACAACGGCUUCCCUGGGAUAAUUUGAUCCGCUCCAACCACACAUUCCAAUCCACAUACUUUCUUCCGUUACGGUUGUUGUCUGUGUGUGUUUAACAUGCUUCUUGAAAGGCUUUUUUAAAAUAUCGAGCCAAGGAUUUCUCAUCCAGCUCGCUACCACAUCAACAGAACCAGAAUAUGAUUUAGUUCAGCUUCAGAUGACAGUACAGCAAAGUAUUACUGUCAUUUCACAUUUCUCCUCCUUCUGUGCUCUUAACUGCUGUGCACCUGGGUCGCUAAAGGACUGCCUAUCAUGAGCUGAGCCCUCCCAGCUGUGGACCCUGGGGGGUGGGAAAUCUUGAAACCUGCCUGACUCAAGGGCUCUCAGCCGUUGCUUUGUCACCAACAGCCUGUUUUAACCUGCUCCUAUUGGACCUUUAUCACUUUCCUGACCCCACAAAACAAACCUGGCUGGCAAAUGCAGUGAACAGCCUCCUUGAAAAUGCAGCUUGACUGUGAUUCAUGGCCAAAAGCUGGAAUAACCCUGCCAGGCCAGAGAAAAAUCGCAGCUUCAUUGUCUGAAGGAAGAGGACUCAGGAAAAUGCAACUUCACCUGAAGCAAGAUCUUUUAUGGCUUGGCAAUCCCAACCUUGCCGGUGUGAAAGGACCGACCUACCUCUGGAACCCGGAGGGCAACUGUGGCAGCAAAAUCCCAAAGUGUUGCUGCCUAUGGUGACUGUGCUAGAACUGAAACUUCUCAGGAAGCCAGGCUGUUAAAAUUGUGAUGCCCUGUACUCAACAAUACCAUGGAUUAUCUAGUCCAAAGUGGAAAGCAAGCCCUUACGGUAAUGUCAUUUGCAUCCUCAACACCCAGAACGCCCUGUUUCUCUUUCCCUGAAUAAAACUACAUUCAAAUCCCAUUGAACACCCAGGUUCAAACCUCCAUUUGUCAGCUGACAAGACCAAGAAUACUCUAAGGUGUUUAAGUCAUUCACGAGUGUCUAGAAAUUUCCAUAGGAAAACUUUGACAACUUUGAAGGCAUGCAUCUCCCCACCCAAGACCCUAGCCAACAACCAUCCUACAAGUCCGUGAGUUCGAAGUUCCCAUGGCUUCUGUACAGUCCCUGUGUCAACAUAAAGCUAAGUUUCAUACACACCCUGGAUCCUUGUCCCUUACAAACACUAAAGGUUUUGUUUGACUUAACUUCAAGCUGUUCAUCUGUUAGUAAGUACUGCUCACCCUAAAACACAUUCAUGAUGAGAGCUUUCUAAAACACCAGUAUGGCCUUCCCCUCCAAUAAUCAUAAUACUCAGAUUAGCCUAAGAUGUGCUACUGGGCAGUUUGGCGGUGGGGUGGGGGUGGUAGAUAUUUAGUGCCUGGAGCUGCCACAGAGCAGGGAAAACCUCACACUGGAACGAAGGAAGUAAUCUCAGUACAGUCCCGCUUAAGCCAAUUAUCUGUUUACAUUUGAUUUCAAUACCCUAUUGAAAACAAUGCAGUGGAGGAGGAAAUGUAAGAAUACAUAGCAACACUCUAACCUUCUUUUGCCUAUAGUUGUUAUUGCAGUGUGUUAAAGUCUGAUAGCAGGCCUCACUGUCAAUUCAUCAGGGCUUGUGCUAGCAGGUUCUGGCUAGAGACCAUCUCCGUCAUCACCAUCACCUAAGACCUGUUGGCUGUCCCAUCAGGCACUAAGAGGCUCAUGGUCUGCAAGGGUCCCCAAACAGCUGAAUCCAGUUCUCACUUAUUUCCUUGAGCUCAAUCUCACAGAUAAGAAUUAAGAUGAUGCCCAUCAUAGAAAAGCAGCUCAGAAAUGCAAACCUUUUUCUGAACCAAGAGCUAUCAGCAAAUCUCAAAUAUCAGAACAGCUCUGGUUGACUGAAAAGUGUCACGAACCCUGGGCCAAGAAUGAUUUCAGGCUCACAAACUAAUCUGUCUGGUCCUGCAAUUUAUGUGAGCAGAGUCACUCAUGAGAAAACUCUUAAGAAACGUCCAGGCCACCCCACACCCCUGACGUUAGUGUAUCAGACCAGCUGAGAGUGGCAGGAUGUUAACUGCCCUCCAGGUGACAUGAAUAAAUAGCCCCAUUGUUUUCACAACCCUGGAUUCCUGCCUGAAGAAACCCUAGACCUCAGACCAGUUCUCUGGGACAAAACUGCACACAGUUCAAAUGCUAACUCUUCGAGAUAGUAUCUACGGUCUAAACCAAGAGAUAAGCAGUUACUUACAAAAAUGUCAGUAAGAAGGCCUGUUCACUUCAAAAAACAAAAAUAAAUAAAAUUUUUCAUUUAAAUAAAAA